CUCUCUCUCUCUCCCUCUCUCCGGACUCAGAGCUCCAGAUCCGCCAUGCUGGGACUCGUACGCUAACUUGUCACGCCGCUCCGCUCCUCCUGCUUUCUCCUGAAUCCUCCUGAGAGAGACCCGCACUGAGUACCUGGAGUUCAGAUUGGCCUGAAGGCUCGUGCUUCUUCCUCAGCUUUCUCGGACGUGGGAACCCGUGGGAUUAGUUUUAAUGAAUCAAUAUUCGCCUCUCGAUGCCAUGCCGUUCAAAGGUAACCUCACGCUACCCAAGAUCCCGGAGUCUAACAUGGCUCUCAGCGUGUUGGGAGUCUUCCUGGGAUUGCUUCUGGAAGUUUCUGCUCAUGGACCCUCCAGUGUUCCAAGAAGUUCAUGGAGACGUGAAGACGUGAACUUGCUGGAGUUUUGGGAGUCGGGGGUGUUUAACUACUCCACGCUGCUGCUGAACGAGGAGAGGGGGGCGCUGUACGUCGGGGCGCGGGAGGCCGUCUUCGAGCUCAGCAAGGACAACGUCUCCGUUAAGAAGAACCAGGUUUCCUGGCAGGUUUCAAAGACUCACAUGGACAUGUGUGUCUCAAAGGGGAAAUCUAAAGAGAAGGAAUGUCUAAACUACAUUCGGGUUCUUCAGGUGUAUGAUGAUCACCACCUGUACGUGUGUGGGACCUACGCCUUUCAGCCGAACUGUGAUUACCUGUCGUUAUCAGAUUUCAGGUUGAUGAAUAAACAGGAGGAUGGUAGAGGGAAGUGUUCGUAUGAUCCAGCACAGAGUUUCACCACUGUGAUGGUUGAUGGGGAGCUGUACUCGGGCACGGCGUAUAACUUCCUGGGCAGCGAGCCGAUCAUCUCCCGGUACUCCCUCUCUCAGAGCCUCCUGCGUACAGAGUACUCCACUUCCUGGCUCAACGAGCCGAGUUUUGUGUUUGCGGAUGUGAUCAGGGAGGGGAGGAACAGUGCAGAUGGAGAUGAUGAUAAGAUCUACUAUUUCUUUACUGAAGUUUCGGUGGAGUAUGAAUUCUUUGGUAAACUGCUGAUCCCUCGUAUCGCCCGCGUCUGUAAGGGGGAUCAGGGAGGUCAGAGGACUCUGCAGAAGAAGUGGACGUCCUUCCUGAAGGCGAAGCUGGUGUGCUCCAUGCCUGAACUCAACUUCGUCUUUAAUGUGGUUCAUGAUGUGUUUAUACUGAAGACCCCAGACUGGAGAGAGACGGUCAUAUACGGAGUCUUCACCUCACAGUGGGGUAACGUGGGUCUGUCUGCUGUCUGUGCGUAUAACAUGACGUCAGUGGACGAGGUUUUCUCCAAAGGGAAGUACAUGCAAAAAGCCACAGUGGAGCAGUCUCACACCAAGUGGGUCAGAUACAACGGAAUCACGCCCACGCCUCGACCUGGAGCGUGCAUCAACAACCAGAACCGCAUGCAGAACAUCGACAGCUCCCUGCAGCUGCCUGAUAAAACCCUGCAGUUUGUGAAGGACCACCCGCUGCUGGCUGACCCCGUCCUGCCCAUCGGCAACGGCCCCCGCCUCAUCGCCAAAGACAUCAAUUACACCCAGAUCGCCGUGGAGAGAGUCCCCGCCCUCGACAAUAAUGUCUAUGAUGUCAUUUUUACUGGCACUGAUAAAGGUGUUCUGCAUAAGUCAGUGGUGUAUGAAGGGGGCGUGCACACCGUGGAAGAGCUCCAGCUUCUGAAGAACCCUGAACCAAUCAAAACUCUGCUGCUGUCCACACAAGGGGCCCGGUUCCUGUACGCUGGUUCUGACUCGGGCGUGGUCCAGUCCCCCACUGCGUUCUGUGAGAAAUACCAGACAUGUGCAGACUGUAUUCUGGCUCGGGACCCGUACUGCGCCUGGGACCCUCACGCCGCUUCCUGUGUGAAUAUUUUCCGUACGCAGGAUCACGCACAGCGCCGGAAGUUGCUGCAGGACCUGAGAGGAGAUGCAGGCAGAUGUCCUUCAGUGAGGCCGCGGAUGGCGGAGAGCUACCGGCGGAUGGUGGUAAAGCCGGGCAGUUCUGCGGAACUCCCCUGCAGGGUGCGCUCUAACCUGGCGCAGGUACAGUGGAAGAUAAACGGUAGCGACCUCAACGAAGCCUCCAACUUUCUCCUGAUGGGGGACACGGGUCUGCUGAUCUACAGCGUGGCUCCGGAGGACCAGGGCCGCUAUGAGUGCUGGUCGGUCGAGGCGGCAGCAGGGAAGAACUUUACCCGUCUGGUGGCUGGAUUUGAUCUACAGCUGGAUCUUCCCAAAAGCGAAUCAUCAUCGUCUUCCUCGGCUGACCUCAUAGAAGAGUUAAAUCCAGACAUCCAGUCCACGGUGCGCUCCUCCACCACCUCCACAGGUAAUAACAGUAAUGGUAACGGUCACACCGCAGGACCCUCUCUACUAACAUCUACGGAGGCGUCCCCACUAACCCCCCCAGCCGUCAGCAGCACCGCCACCACCAUGUUUUCCAGCGGUAUAAACAGAGCAAACCCCCAACCCAAGGUCUCCCCUCCUCCUCCUUCUUCUCCAGACGCCAGUCAAACCCCCCCACACCCGUCAGCCAAGUAUCUUCAGUACGACAACAGCAGCGCCCUGCUCUUCCUCUUCCUCCUCUUCUUCCUCCUCUUCCUCUGCUGCCUCACCUACAACUGCUACAUGCAGUAUCUGCCGGCGCCGUGCCUCCGCCUCCGUAGCGCCCUCCUCGGCUCGCCCAAAAAGCCGCAGCCGGAGUACAUCGCCUGCGAGGCGGGACUGAUGGAGCACGCCGCGGAGAAACUGGAGCAGAACGGGGCUCAGCAGCAGCAGCAGCAGCAGCUCCGCGCGCUACGAGACACGGGAUACGAGACGGAGCCGGAGUGCGGGAACGGGAACGGGAAAAUCCCGUCGCACAGCUUCGACGAGGCUGACGACAGCCCCUCCAAACAGCGACCCUUCGACGUUGACUGUGAAUCGCAGCCAAUCCAGUACGCAGACGCAGACUGAGACCAACGAUUCACUCACAAAGACGACCACUGACUGAAAAACCGAAACCACUUUAGGAAAAGUGUAGGUGACGAUGGACAGCUGGAAGAUGGUCUGGGUGGUUUCUGAAAAUUGUGAACAGCCUUUUGUGAAUCUUCUUCAACUGAGAAUGUUCUCGCUGUUUGACCUGCGGUCGUUUGACGAUCCCAGUCGGAAAGUGUUCAGAAAAUUUGGUGGGAGGGAGAAAAAGUGGCUGAUUUGCGUAAUUUACGUGAUUCACUUAGUUAAAGGAGAACUGUUGUAGUAAAACAUGAUAAAAAAAAAAAGUUCUUAUCUUUGAUGAAUAGCACACCUCCGUUCUCCCACAGCGUUCAGAGAUCCAGAAAUUUUAACAGUUUCUCCAACAAACACCCUUCAGACUGGGAGAUACGGGGCAUAAUUUACCCUGAUAAAUCACUUUUUACACCGUUAUCCAGCUCAAAGUAGCUCCACACCUCCUUACUAGAAUCCAAGAGGAGAGUCCUGACAUUUAAAACGAGGCAUUAAUAACUUAAAAAACUGAAGAAGAAGCUUAUUAAAAAACACUGUUUACAUCCUAUAACGCUACUAGCUUCAGCUCAGAGCGCCACCAUCACUGUACUGAUAAUGACAUAAACAUAUAUAUAAAUAGACUCUGCAUAGCAUUGUCAGUACAGUGAUGGCGGCGCUCAGAGCUGAAGUUAUUAAUGCCUCGUUUUAAAUGUCAGGGCUCUCUGGAUUCUAGUAAGGAGGUGUCUGAACGCUGUGGGAAAACAGAGGUGUGCUGUUCAUCAAAGAUAUGAACUUUUUAUCAUGUUUUACUACAGCAAAAGUGUUUUUUUUUAUUUUACACCAGAGUUCUUCUUUAAGCGCACAUAUAAUUCCAAAUUGGAAACGUUUUUUACCAAAUUGGUAAGUUAGCUUAAGGUUUUUCCAAUUUGAAUUGGAGCUAAAAUAUUUGUAGUGUUUUUGUUUUUUUGGGGGGGGGAGAAGAGACAGAAUUUUUUUUUUUUUUUUUUUUUAAUAAACCCUUUUCCCCCACAUUCUCACGAUUCCUUGUGAUGAUCAGUCCUCCAUUUUUGCGUACUACUCUCAGGGACCUGCAUCAUACUGCGCUCGCCAAAUACUGAGUGUCUGAGUUAAGUGGAGUUGCACAGAGUUGCAUGAAGGGUGAGCAAAACAAGAUGGGGAAAUUCCUGAUUCCUGAUUCCACCAAACUGUUGGAGAUAAUAAUGAGGUUAAACACGUCAGUUAUGAUGUCAUAUAAUGUUUUGACUGAAGCUGGCUGGGUCUUGCUCCUGCACUGUCAGUAUUUGUGGUGUUUAAUAAGAAUAAAAAGUGCACGAAAGGGUGAAAAUCAACAAAACCACGUUGGGAAACCCAUUUCCGCCAAUCCCGCGUUCCUGUUCGUUGUAUCUGCGACGCUGUGAGUGCCUAACGUUUCUUGUGUUCCGUGAAAAAUGGUGAUUAUCAGUAAAAACUGGAUCGGUGUUACAUAUUUGACUUGGUUCUUACUGCCCUGUGGUUUUAUUUGCUGGUGAACGUAAGAGAUCACAUCUCUGAAUGAAUUAUAUGAAUUAUUUAAAGUGUCCCAACUUGCUGUAACAUUGGGGGCCAUAUUGGGUAACACUUCCUAUGUAUAAUCCUGUAUUCAUAAUGUCAUACUGUAUUAUAAUGACUGCCAUUAGCUUGUAUAAUGACUCAUAAUAUCUCAAAUACUAAUAUAUCAAACAGCAACAUACUGUAUGUUAUUAACUACAAGUAUAUGACUAUAACAUUGCCUUAUAUUAAUAUGUUCAGUGUUUUAUGAUCAGAUAUUAAAAGGUAUUGCAAAAUUAUAAUUCUUUAUAAAGCCACAUACUUGUACUUUAUAACAUCAUAUAUGUUAAAAAAUACAAGACAGCACUUCAGUUUCUGAAUCAGUUUCUCUGAUUUUGCUAUUUAUAGGUUUAUGUUUGAGUAAAAUGAACAUUGUUGUUUUAUUCUAUAAACUACAGACAACAUUUCUCCCAAAUCCCAAAUAAAAAUAUUCUCAUUUAGAGCAUUUAUUUACAGAAAAUGAGAAAUGUCUGAAAUAACAAAAAAAAAGAUGCAGAGCUUUCAGACCUCAAAUAAUGCAAAGAAAACAAGUUCAUAUUCAUAAAGUUUUAAGAGUUCAGAAAUAUUCAAUAUUUGGUGGAAUAACCCUGGUUGUUUUUUAAUCACAGUUUUUUUUUCAUGCAUCUUGGCAUCAUGUUCUCCUCCACCAGUCUUACACACUGCUUUUGGAUAACUUUAUGCUGCUUUACUCCUGGUGUAAAAAUUCAAGCAGUUCAGUUUGGUGGUUUGAUGGUUUGUGUUCAUCCAUCUUCCUCUUGAUUAUAUUCCAGAGGUUUUCAAUUUGGUAAAAUUAAAGAAACUCAUCAUUUUUAACAGUUUAACAUAUAAAAGUUGCCUGAAUUGCUGGUUUUGCCAUUCUCCACAUCACACAGAUAACAUUUAACAUCUUAAAUUUGUCAGGUAUGAUUAAAAAAGAUUGGAUUUGGCCCAAUUUUACCUGCUGUGUGUGAAUAUAGCCUUAGGUUAUUUUUAUUUCCAACCAGCUGAAUCAGAAAGAUAUGUAUUUUUACUGUAUAUGUGAUAUAGUACACAGUAUUACAUAUUUAUAACAUAAUUAUAGGACUUAACUACAGCUCUACAUAUAUCUUUAAAUCAAUUUAUUAAUUAAGUAGAGUAAAAUUACAGCAACCUUAGAUUUUUUUUAUUUUAAUUUUAAUUUUUAGAAUUGCCCUCCAUAGAAGUCCUUUCUCCUUUAGUUAAAGAGUUGAGUAGUUGGUUAUAUCAGCUCCCUUUAAAUCCGCUGUAGUUCAUUGGCUAGCGUUAGUGGCCGGAGUUAGUGAUAAUGAAUUUACACGGAAGUUAACACAUCUUAGGUUUUCACUUUUCUUAUAUAUAUAUAUAUAUAUACUAGUGAGGGAUAAAAUAACGCUCUUACAGAUUCUUAACACUAGAAGUAACAAUCAAAUAACGCAAAAAUAAAGACAUCACUUUAAAAUAUAGGCCUUUCCCAGAAGCCCAAGGUAUGAAAAUAGUUUUUCCAGCUUUCUGUUCAUGAAAAUGUGCCUUUUAUUUGUACCAAUGGUCUUUAAUCUCUCUCUUUAAAGUGCAAUAGCCAGAAUCUCUCCACGGACGAGGCUCGGACCCUCUGUGGAGCUGGGUUUGGUGACAUAUUGCUGCCUGAGAUUCAUGUAAAACUCCCAUUCAGUUUCCUGAUUUUGUUUAUUUUUGUCUCACAGCCACUGUAACGCAUAGCAGCACAUUCAAACCCGGUCGGAACGGAAUGGGUUAAAGAAAUCAAACAUGCGAGGAAGUCCAAACCAAUGUUUACAGAGUUAAUCUUUGGUUGUAUGGGUUAUCAUUAUUCUGUAUGACUGUUGGCAAUAAAAUGGUGAAUGUG